UUCAAACUGUCCAUUUUCGUAAUUUUUCUAUUACUUAAAUAACACACAUAAUCAUUACAGCCAUUUGAUAUAAUAAAUGUUUAAUUUGUUUUAAAUUUUUUAAGGUGUACAUACAGACACAUUAAAAAAAGGGUUAAGUAUGAUUUUAGUCUUGAACUUUGACCUAAAAUUUGAAUUCGUCCAUGUUUGAAACUUCAAUACAUUUUUGUCUCUAAACUUUAAAAAUGAAUUAAUACAGUCAUUUUAACCAAAGUACAUUAACUUUUUUUUAUGUGUCGAACGCGUUUCAAGUUAGUAUUGAAGUCGUUUACAUUGUUUGGUACAUUCCCGAUUCAAUAUCUACUGGGAAAUGCGUUUGACACCUAAAAAAAAGUUAACGUAAUUGGGUUAAAAUGACUAUAUUCAUUCAUUUUUAAAGUAAAAUGUAUCAAAGUUUCAAAUAGGGACGAAUUCUAAUUUUGGAUCAAUGUUUAGGGACUAAAAACAUACUUAACCCUUAGAAAAAUCACGAGAGGUUGUGCAGCGCGCUCCACCUUUGCUAGUCCUUUCCAUUCACCAUCGUGUCGCCCUCGAUCAACCGUUGGAUGCUUCACCACCGGAAGUGUUUCUACUGGCCUGGAAUCACCAUAGUUUGCACUCUACAACACGAUGUAGCAUGUGCUUCUGGAUUGCAUGAGCUCUCUAUGCAUGGGCUUCCGGAUUGUUGAAUCUGGAUUGUUGCCUAGUAUUGUAGCAUAUGUAUUGACAAUAAAAUUUUGACAACUUUAUCUUACAACUUGAGGUGACAUUUUCUAAGUAAUUUUAGAAUAUAGAGAAAUGAGAAAAUGGAAAAAUAGGAAGCCACUUAGAAGAUGCCACCUCAAGUUGUAAGAGAACUUUGUCACAAUUUAGUUGUUAAAAAAUCAUUUUCUUUAAUACUUUUAACAUAUUUUAAUCAAGGAUGAAAUAGAUAUAUUAUAGGAAAAUAAUAUAGUAACGUAUAAAAAUUGAUAAUUUUUCUCACAACCAUACGUGGCAAUCAGUUUUAAAGUUGUUUUUUUUUAAUUUGUUUAAUUCCACGUUGGCCAUGUUUGAAUGAAAGCGUGAGAGAGAGAAAGCUGGAGUUCGUGGGAGAAGUGGAGAGCAGUUUGUUGGUGUUGGAAAAGACAUCCAUUGGUCUGAGUAGUAAUCCAAUAUUUCUUUGUGAUUUCCCCGUUAGUGGUGUUGAUGGAGACAUUGUGGGCUUACGCAAUGGUGGAAAGUGUUAGUGGGUAGUGUCUGUUAUCCAUUUUCGUGGAAAGGGUCCAUUUUUGCAGUAUUAUACUGAGUGGUGUGGAUAUUGCAGGAGCGACAUGUACUGUUGGUGAUCAGAAAGUUAGUCGGAGGUGCAUAAGGUACUGAGUUAGUGUUUGUUGAAAUGGCGGACAAACGAAAACGACACUCAUUAGAAGAAAAUGUGAAGAAGGAAGUCAGUAAACUGAAACCAUUACGGAGCAGACAUAAAGCAUAUGUAAGCAAUGUGAAACCUUUUAAUUUUUUUUAAAUGCCUACGUGUCAACCUAGCAACGUGCCACGUGUCAAAGUCAAUGUUCUAUAUUACCCAAAUGAUGACAAUCUGCAAACUUGAUGACAAUCACGAAAACUCUAAACCCAAGAGGAACGUACUCACCUCGUCGAUGAUGAUGAUAAUCUGCAAACUUGAAAUCGACAAAUGCAGAAAUUCCUAGGUCCAUGUGCUUGAACAGCGUAAUCGCCUCCCAAGUGCUCGAACAGUGAACCUCAGCCUGCACAAUCCCUAAUUGCAACAUUUGCCCCAAAUCUUUAAUUUGAACCUAAUUACUCCAACUCAUUGUACAUGUAAUACACCACAAUUAAAUGUAAUACAAACAAUGACACAUGUAUAGUGCUUUGUUACUGAUUUAAA